rnacentral:rRNA from 1 species
ACAGCAGCAGCCGCGGUAAUACGUAGGUCCCGAGCGUUGUCCGGAUUUAUUGGGCGCAAAGCGAGCGCAGGCGGUUAGAUAAGUCUGAAGUUAAAGGCUGUGGCUUAACCAUAGUACGCUUUGGAAACUGUUUAACUUGAGUGCAAGAGGGGAGAGUGGAAUUCCAUGUGUAGCGGUGAAAUGCGUAGAUAUAUGGAGGAACACCGGUGGCGAAAGCGGCUCUCUGGCUUGUAACUGACGCUGAUGCACGAAAGCUAGGGGAGCAAACAGGAUUAGAGACCCCAGUAGUCCCUGUCUCUUAUACA